AGAUGUAAAUCUGCCUGCAACAUUUGUCACCCACUUGUCAUCACCCCACUGAUUGAUUUGGCUGAUCUGGCUGGCAAGGUUAGUGUCCCCUUCUCCCUCAUAACUCCAUGUACAUCACUCCAGAAGCUUCACACCCAGACAAAAGGAUGGCCUUUUGGGAGAGAGUAGUACCAUUCUUCAGUCAAGGGUAUACAAAUAGCUGUACUCCCAUGCUAGAACCUCAAGGUCCAUAAACCUGUUUGUCUAUGGAAAAUUCAUCAUGAUGGAAGAAACUUGAUUGUCUAUGGUAAUUAUCUAUAAAGAUCAU
rnacentral:snRNA from 1 species